UACGUAGGGGGCAAGCGUUGUCCGGAAUCAUUGGGCGUAAAGAGCGUGUAGGCGGCUUGGCAAGUCUGACGUGAAAUCCCGCGGCUCAACCGCGGUCGGUCGUUGGAAACUGCCUGGCUAGAGUCCGGAAGAGGAGAUUGGAAUUCCUGGUGUAGCGGUGGAAUGCGCAGAUAUCAGGAGGAACACCCGUGGCGAAGGCGGCUCUCUGGGACGGUACUGACGCUGAGACGCGAAAGCGUGGGGAGCGAACAGG
rnacentral:rRNA from 1 species